rnacentral:lncRNA from 13 species
GAUUUUCAAGCAUCCUAAAAAUAAAGAAAUCCAAUUCUAUUAAUCACAGAGUAAUAUGGUGUAUUUUUCUUUCCUUUUUUUUUUUUUUUUUCCUUUAUUAAGAGAAGAAAAUUUUGUCCAGGGAGGAGGUAAGGCCUUUUUUUUUUUUUCAAUAGAGAGACAUUGGCAACAUGAUCAAAAAGCCAAAACUUCAUAGGUUGCAUGUGCAAUAAUCAGCCUGUGCCGGGGGGGAGGGAAGAGUGAGCCAAAUGAUGUCAUGUUGUCGCACCUACCACCAUCACUGUUCGGUUUCACUUCAGGAAAAGUCAGGGUAUAAAUUCCCAGGCCCCUGGAAUGAUGAGGAAGUUGCUUCAUCAUGUUGGAGUGGGGUUAGAGGAAAAUGAAGAACUGGUCAAAAAAUAUCUCCAGAUGACCUUGAACAUCAGCUGCUCUCUUUCUACUCAAAGUUUAAUUCCUUGAACAUGGCAGCUGCUACUUUUGUUUCGAUUUACUUUUCAUUCAUAAACUCUCUCUCUAAACAUAUAGAACAUUGAGUAUUGUCUAUGAUGUGAAAUAGGCAGUUCCCUUAUUUAGAGCCAAUUCAACAUCAGUUGGUUUCGCGUUUCAGAAACCUGUGUCAGAUGUUGAGAGAACGGAAGACAAGUUAACAGUAACAAUGGGCCGGGCGCGGUGGCUCAAGCCUGUAAUCCCAGCACUUUGGGAGGCCGAGGUGGGUGGAUCACGAGGUCAACAGAUCGAGACCAUCCUGGUCAACAUGGUGAAACCCCGCCUCUACUAAAAAAUACAAAAAAUUAGCUGGGCAUGGUGGUGCGUGCCUGUAAUCCCAGCUACUCAGGAGGCUGAGGCAGGAGAAUUGCCUGAACCCAGGAGGCAGAUGUUGCGGUGAGCCAAGGUCGCGCCAUUGCACUCCAGCCUGGGUAACAAGAGCGAAACUCCGUCACAAAAAAAAAACAAUAACAAUGAAAGGUUCAUGUCGCAGAGUGGAUCAGAGUCUGGGGAGGGACUCACAUCAAAGUCCAACUGGGGAACAGGCAAUAGACAAGAGGUCAAGGAGGUGCCCCAAAGCAGGAGAAUUUUCACCUGCUGGGGAAGAAUGAGUAGGGCUUUGCUUCGUGGAAGAUGUGAGAAGAGCACUCAGAGUGGAAGUACUGGCCUCAGCCAAGAGCAGGCGGCUGAAGCAAGCUUGGGCUGGAGAAACCAACUUACAGAACUUUAAACAUGAAGUUUCAUGGCUUUCGUCUUACUUUUCUAGUUCCACCCAGUAGAAAAUAACAGUAUGAAAAAUGGGACACCAUGCUGCAUUUCAAAUAGCCUUCUGCUAAUUAGAAAAUUACCCUGUAUCAUUAUAAGGGCUGCCAGCAUUGUUUUAAUAUGGCUCUGCUAAUAUACUGAAGGCCCUAAUUUAAAAAUCUUGUAUCUUGGCUGCUAAAAUCACUGCAGGCUGAACCUUGUCAUACAGGAGGAGAUUUUGUUUUUCAGUCCUGGGCAUGGAGCAUAAUUGGUGUCAAUUUUAAACGCCUGGAAUGUGUGCCUGUGUUUAGGGGGGUGGGAGGGUAGAGAGACAAAACAAUUGUCUUUCAAUGCCUUCUUCCUAGCACACCUUAGCUGUGAUCCCAGAUCAGAACCUAGUUCUCUUGAGAAUGAAGACUGCUUUGACAUUUUAGUAAGGAAAAUCUCAAGUAACUGAAAAAUUUCUCCUACAGGAUUUAGUUAAAAUAUAUAUUUAUGUGAGAUUUAAAUGAG